UGCUGGAGGUAUCAGAAGUGCGAAUGCUGACAUAAGUAACGAUAAAGCGGGUGAAAAGCCCGCUCGCCGGAAGACCAAGGGUUCCUGUCCAACGUUAAUCGGGGCAGGGUGAGUCGACCCCUAAGGCGAGGCCGAAAGGCGUAGUCGAUGGGAAACAGGUUAAUAUUCCUGUACUUGGUGUUACUGCGAAGGGGGGACGGAGAAGGCUAUGUUGGCCGGGCGACGGUUGUCCCGGUUUAAGCGUGUAGGUGUGUGUUCCAGGUAAAUCCGGUUCACUUUAACACUGAGGCGUGACGACGAGGCACUACGGUGCUGAAGCAACAAAUGCCCUGCUUCCAGGAAAAGCCUCUAAGCAUCAGGUAACAUCAAAUCGUACCCCAAACCGACACAGGUGGUCAGGUAGAGAAUACCAAGGCGCUUGAGAGAACUCGGGUGAAGGAACUAGGCAAAAUGGUGCCGUAACUUCGGGAGAAGGCACGCUGACACGUAGGUGAAGUGAUUUACUCAUGGAGCUGAAGUCAGUCGAAGAUACCAGCUGGCUGCAACUGUUUAUUAAAAACACAGCACUGUGCAAACACGAAAGUGGACGUAUACGGUGUGACGCCUGCCCGGUGCCGGAAGGUUAAUUGAUGGGGUCAGCGCAAGCGAAGCUCCUGAUCGAAGCCCCGGUAAACGGCGGCCGUAACUAUAACGGUCCUAAGGUAGCGAAAUUCCUUGUCGGGUAAGUUCCGACCUGCACGAAUGGCGUAAUGAUGGCCAGGCUGUCUCCACCCGAGACUCAGUGAAAUUGAACUCGCUGUGAAGAUGCAGUGUACCCGCGGCAAGACGGAAAGACCCCGUGAACCUUUACUAUAGCUUGACACUGAACAUUGAGCCUUGAUGUGUAGGAUAGGUGGGAGGCUUUGAAGCGUGGACGCCAGUCUGCGUGGAGCCGACCUUGAAAUACCACCCUUUAAUGUUUGAUGUUCUAACGUGGACCCGUAAUCCGGGUUGCGGACAGUGUCUGGUGGGUAGUUUGACUGGGGCGGUCUCCUCCUAAAGAGUAACGGAGGAGCACGAAGGUUGGCUAAUCCUGGUCGGACAUCAGGAGGUUAGUGCAAUGGCAUAAGCCAGCUUGACUGCGAGCGUGACGGCGCGAGCAGGUGCGAAAGCAGGUCAUAGUGAUCCGGUGGUUCUGAAUGGAAGGGCCAUCGCUCAACGGAUAAAAGGUACUCCGGGGAUAACAGGCUGAUACCGCCCAAGAGUUCAUAUCGACGGCGGUGUUUGGCACCUCGAUGUCGGCUCAUCACAUCCUGGGGCUGAAGUAGGUCCCAAGGGUAUGGCUGUUCGCCAUUUAAAGUGGUACGCGAGCUGGGUUUAGAACGUCGUGAGACAGUUCGGUCCCUAUCUGCCGUGGGCGCUGGAGAACUGAGGGGGGCUGCUCCUAGUACGAGAGGACCGGAGUGGACGCAUCACUGGUGUUCGGGUUGUCAUGCCAAUGGCACUGCCCGGUAGCUAAAUGCGGAAGAGAUAAGUGCUGAAAGCAUCUAAGCACGAAACUUGCCCCGAGAUGAGUUCUCCCUGAGACUUAGAGUCUCCUGAAGGAACGUUGAAGACGACGACGUUGAUAGGCCGGGUGUGUAAGCGCAGCGAUGCGUUGAGCUAACCGGUACUAAUGAACCGUGAGGCUUAACCUUACAACGCCGAAG
rnacentral:rRNA from 1 species